AGAGUGAUAAAAAGGUCCAUCCUAUCAGAUCAGAGUGAUAAAAAGGUCCAUCCUAUCAGAUCAGAGUGAUAAAAAGGUCCAUCCUAUCAGAUCAGAGUGAUAAAAAGGUCCAUCCUAUCAGAUCAGAGUGAUAAAAAGGUCCAUCCUAUCAGAUCAGAGUGAUAAAAAGGUCCAUCCUAUCAGAUCAGAGUGAUAAAAAGGUCCAUCCUAUCAGAUCAGAGUGAUAAAAAGGUCCAUCCUAUCAGAUCAGAGUGAUAAAAAGGUCCAUCCUAUCAGAUCAGAGUGAUAAAAAGGUCCAUCCUAUCAGAUCAGAGUGAUAAAAAGGUCCAUCCUAUCAGAUCAGAGUGAUAAAAAGGUCCAUCCUAUCAGAUCAGAGUGAUAAAAAGGUCCAUCCUAUAAAGCUUUCCAGACUAUAGAUGGUGUUGUUUAAAUAUCAGCAGAAGAAACUCAGUCAAGAACA